AAAUUUGUGGUUUCUCUUCAGGUUGUAUAAAUCUUUCGCCUUUUGAUAAAGAUUUCCAUAGGGAGGAACAAUGCUAAGUUUUAACCCAAUUUUUUGAGGCCUUGCGUUUUCAGGGAA
rnacentral:snRNA from 1 species